rnacentral:tmRNA from 1 species
GGGGACGAAGGGACUCGACAGGAGGCGAUGUAGCCGGAUAGCAGGCCGAGGUUGGUUGUCACCCUCGUUAAUCAGGCGACCAAAAAUAGUUGGCAAUCGUCAACUCGCUCUCGCCGCUUAAUUAGCGACGACGUCGUUCCCUAGUCUCGGCCCGGUGGGCCAGGGAAACGGCGCUGCAAUGCCGGGAUGCUGUCAGUGGACGCCGAUGCGACUGACAAAAGACUAUCGGCUGGCCGAAUGACGUGGGGACCGCCACUGUAGCCGUUCGGUGAGAUCUCUAUUGGCGGGAAAGCCUGUAGGAUAAUUCGGAGCUAAACCUAUCUGGACCGGGAGUUCAACUCUCCCGCGUCUCCACCA